UGUCUCUGACUGGGUAGAGUUACACCUCGUUUGGUGGUACUUAUCUCAUAUCAGCAGGGACAAAGGAACUCCUUGUUUAUCCUAGCUUGGCUUUUGGUCUGUGCCUGUGCCUGGUUCAUGUCCUGACACAUAG
rnacentral:snoRNA from 1 species